GUGCUCACUUUGGCAGCACAUAUACUAAAACUGGAACGAUACAGAGAAGAUUAGCAUGGCCCCUGUGCAAGGAUGACAUGCAAAUUCAUGAAGUGUUCCACAUUUUA
rnacentral:snRNA from 1 species